AUUGAACGCUGGCGGCAUGCCUUACACAUGCAAGUCGAACGGUAACGGGUCCUUCGGGAUGCCGACGAGUGGCGAACGGGUGAGUAAUAUAUCGGAACGUGCCCAGUAGUGGGGGAUAACUGCUCGAAAGAGCAGCUAAUACCGCAUACGACCUGAGGGUGAAAGGGGGGGAUCGCAAGACCUCUCGCUAUUGGAGCGGCCGAUAUCAGAUUAGCUGGUUGGUGGGGUAAAGGCCUACCAAGGCAACGAUCUGUAGUUGGUCUGAGAGGACGACCAGCCACACUGGGACUGAGACACGGCCCAGACUCCUACGGGAGGCAGCGGUGGGGAAUUUUGGACAAUGGGCGCAAGCCUGAUCCAGCAAUGCCGCGUGCAGGAAGAAGGCCUUCGGGUUGUAAACUGCUUUUGUCAGGGAAGAAAUCUUCUGGGCUAAUACCCCGGGAGGAUGACGGUACCUGAAGAAUAAGCACCGGCUAACUACGUGCCAGCAGCCGCCGUAA
rnacentral:rRNA from 1 species